UGCCAGCCGCCGCGGUAAUACGAAGGGGGCUAGCGUUGUUCGGAAUUACUGGGCGUAAAGCGCACGUAGGCUGACUGGUCAGUUGGGGGUGAAAUCCCGGGGCUCAACCUCGGAACUGCCUUCAAUACUGCUAGCCUUGAGUUCGAGAGAGGUGAGUGGAAUUCCGAGUGUAGAGGUGAAAUUCGUAGAUAUUCGGAGGAACACCAGUGGCGAAGGCGGCUCACUGGCUCGAUACUGACGCUGAGGUGCGAAAGCGUGGGGAGCAAACAGGAUUAGAUA
rnacentral:rRNA from 1 species